AAACAACAUCUCUUCGUUUCCUUUUUCUGAAUAGUCACUUCUCAGAAGACACAACUUUUCAGAAUAAAAUACUUUUAACAAAUUUAUUUAUGGUUUCUUAAUCUCAUCAGAUCAUCACUGUGCUUAGUUUCCAUUCAAUUCAUCUUCCUUUCUUCGAAUUUUCUCUUCUUCGUGUGGAUUUUUUUAUUUAGUAUGGAAUAUCUCUUAUCUGUCACCGCCAAUAAACCUAACUGAUGAGUCUUUGUUCCUGCCGUUGAUCUGCAUAUGAACUUUGCUGAAUUUUUCUUUAUUCUCUUUUUUUUUUCUGAUAACUACCACUCUUUUCUCUCCCCAACCCAUUGAUUAUUUACUUUAUCAUUCUCAGUGGCAGAGAACAUAUCUUCUUUCUCAAAAACUCAGUGAUCUCUUCUGGUAACGUUUUCCAUCCAUAAAAUCAGACCGGACAAGUGGAGGAGAUACAUAUCGAUGUGUUUCCUUCUCACCGAACAAUCACGGUUUCGACUCGCCUUUGAGACCAGAUUCAAUCGGUUAAAUGAACAUAUUCUCAAAAGGUGUGAACUUCAAGUCCAAAGAUAGGCGUCGGUAAACACAAGAUGUGCAUAGAUAUUGCGAAGCUGUGAUAAAAUCUCAUCAAUAAUAUUUGAAUUUGCAAGGAGGCUUUUUUUGACAAAAAUUUGAUAGUGUGCAAUUACACUUUUGUAAAGUGAAGCUUAAAUAAAUGACAAACAAUCUAGAACUGACCGUAUCAUAUAUAGACAUUAUAUAAAAUUUUGUCUGUUUAUCAA